UCUUCUCCAGUUCGAAAUUGUCCCCAACCCUAAGAGACUUGCUGCCUUGUAAUCUCUAAGGCUUCUCCGGCGGCGACAAAGCUCGAACAUCGCCCAAGUUUCGUCUAUGCAACCAUCGCCCUUCCUCAAACCCAAUCCACCUCUGUUCCUCCCCAAGUCCUCGCCAAAUUAAUCAGAUUUGAAUCUGAAAGUAGAAGAAUCCGUCAAGUUUUAAAACUCCUUUGAACAAUAUAGUUUGAAACGAGUAUUGACCAUUUGUUUUCUUUGAGAACAUACAGUUAAUGUUUGUUUCGAAUCAAAUCAAAGCCGUAGAGUUUAUCAAGUUUUGUCUGGGCAACAUUGAAGGUAUUAUCUCCAUCUUUUCUUCGUCGUCAUCCUCGUCAGUUCAAUUAUUUGAGUUCUUUUUCUGUUCCUCCAUCUCCAUGUUGUCUUUUUCUUUUCAUUUUUUCCUCUUAUUUUUGUUUAAAUUGUACAAGUAAUAGCCUUGAGUUAACUUUGAUUAAUUUUAUUAAAUGGAUAGAACUAAUUCGAUUUACAAGUUUUAAAACUGAUUGGGCUCUUUAUGGGGCCAUUGUAUAACUGAUCAUGUGGUUGGGUCAGAGUUUUGGGUCUCAAAUGUUCAUGGGAUGGGUGAAGUUCUUGGGCCCUCGAUCGAUUAUGACCUAUCCCCAACAACAUUUUUAGAGUUUUAGUUUUUUGGUUUGGCCUGACCCAUAGAUGGAUUAGGUUGGGAGGGUAAUUUACAAAGAUUAAAAGGUUACUUUAGGUAUCUUAGGUGAGAGAAUCUUGGUAUAACAUAAUAGGAAGCUUCUUAAGAAGCUGGGUGGGCCUGUUUUGGUAUAUAGAUAAUCACAUUAAGGGUAAUUCAACAAAAAGGGAAAAUCAUAUAAGGAUUAGGUGGCAAAAACCAAAAUUUGAAAAGGGCCUAAUGGGUAAAAAUCAAACCUAAAGUUUACGUUAUUUUCUUGCCUAUAAAGGCAUCUUAUUCUUGCCUUGCAAGAGGGAAAACUUCAGUGAUAGAAAUACAAGAAAAUCAUAGCGGCUAAACAUCAAUGAAAAUACUUUACGUUGGGUCUUCUCUAUGGAUUUCUUAAUUUUUCAGCUUCUAAGAACAAAUUCGAAUCUAAAUAAAGUUGAAAUGGUUUAAGGAUAAUGGUCAAAAGGAUUUGAUCUGAAGCUCUGGUCGAUGGGGUUUAAAGCUUGAUUUUAAAGUUCUUUUUCCUCUUGGUUAUCUCUGCUUUGGGUCAUUGACUGCUACUGUUACUGCCAAAUUCCUUACCCUUGUAUUUUUUCUUUCAAUAUCCAAGUACUUCUUGCAUCUUGAAUCGCAUCUGAAGUGCAGAUAUAUGUUCAAUAUGGAAGACUAAUGAUAAAUGUUGAAAUUCAGCUUUUGUCCUUCAAUGAUCUUGUGAUUGCUAUGUAGCUUAUGCCUUCUUUACAGUUUUUGGCUGUUCAUUUAUAUUUCUAGUUUGAAUCUCAUUUAUAAGAUAGCAUGGUGUCAUAUUUAGCAAGUUUGGGUAUAUGAAUUAGCUGAAGUUUGUUUGUUUGGAUGGGAGUAUAAUGUUUAAAUCUCUUAUAGUAUAGUUGACUUGUUCACCCUUCUGCUUAUGGAAACUGCAACGCAAAAGUUAAAUCUUAUCUUUGUUUCAAGAUACAAUAUUCAUUUUCUAUUGUACAACUUUUAUUGCUAUUGAGAUGUGGAUAGCAUUAGGGACCAGUCUAUGGGAUGUAGGGUAGUGUUGUGUUGAUUUUCAAGUAAUGAGGCCUACUGCUGUGUUUGGGUCACAAGAGUAAAAGCAGGAAUAGUCCUGAUGGUUGUCUCAUUUGGAACUAUUAAGCCUUGAAUUUUGGGUCUCAUUUGGUCCUGUUCGGUUGGUAGGUUAUCACUUCAUGCAUGGGUUCAAAAUUAGUGGUGGUUCAUGUUAAAUAAUGAAACUGAACAAAAUGGCAUUUAGUCAGCACAUUCAUUGUUUGGUAUGAAAAGAUUUAUAUGAAAAACUUGCUGGAUCUUGGUUAUGUGCCAAUGAAUUUUUCAAACCAUUUUAUAGUUGAAUUUUGAUUUUUGUUGGGGUGGUGAUAUUCUCUUGGAUUGCUAGGUGACAUAAAUUUUUGAGUUUGUUUAAUUAGUUGAAGUUCAUAAAUAAUUUCAUUAGUUUGAUUCCUUGUCUUCCUAAUGUUUUCAACUUAUUGGUUUUAUUUUGUCGAGCAAAUGUGGGGAUUCAUAGAACUGGGCCUACUGUUGGUCUAAUUGAGGAAGCUAAUGACAGACUUGGCAGUUUGUCACCUGUUUUUGGAUCUUCUCGUCCUUUUAAAAAUGGGCUCCUCCCAGGCCAAGUCUCAGAAGGUAUUCUUAAAAAGACUUGUGUACUUCUUGGACUUGAACUUGUCUAAUUUUGCUAAAUCCAUCCUACAUCAUUGGGAGGACAUCUUUGUUGGAACAAUUCUCGUUUAAUAGCUUAGUCAUUUGAUGCAGGAUCAACUACCAAGUAGACUCGAUUUUCAGUAAUUAGUACCCCUUCAAUGCUUUUCCUUCAACUAGUUUCGUUAAUGAAUUGGGGAAAGACAUACUAGAAAAAUAAUAAUAAUUAUGGCCCUCCGAAUGUAAUUGAAUUCACCCUUUUUAAUUUAGAGUUGAGGUGCGUCAUGCCAGAUAAAAUCUCAAAUGUGUGGCCAUCAUUUAAUUGUUUCUUUUAAAAUCCUUAGAAUUCGAGGCAUGCCAUUAGCAAUCUCAGAGUGCAUUUAUGUGACGUGGUUCGAAACAUAUUUUAAAUAACGUUGCAAUCUCCCUUUAAUUGAUUAAAUAAAAGCGGUUUGAAAGUUAAAUGCACAUAGGUUUAAAAUGUUCUAAAAUCAGAUAAUUAAGUCGAAUAUAACAGUUGAGCGACUGUGCUAGAACCACGGAACCCGGGAAUGCUUAACACCUUCUCCCGGGUUAGUAGAAUUCCUUACUUGGAUUUCUAGUUCGUGGACUGUAAUACAGAGUCAACCUUUUCCUCGAUUCGGGAUUUGAACUAAUGACUUGGGACACCAUAAAUCAUCCGUAGUGGAGCUUCUGAAUUUAAUAAAUUAAUAAUCUCAUUUCGAUUGUCACUUUAAUUUAAAAAAACUCCCUUAAUACACCCUUCCAGGGAUGUAGGUAAAAAAAAAGGUGUGACAGACGUUUCUCCUGUGCUUGUUUUUGGCGUGGUGCAGUAUGCCCACAGUACCUCUGGGAGUAAUUCCGGCCAUAGUCCCUUGGGAUCUUCAAGUUUUUUCUUCAAGAUAUUCAGUAUUGUUUAGUUGGAGGACUCGACCUGACCGUUACGGCAUGGUGAUAUGGUAUCGAGAGUAUUCGCUUGAUGUGCCAUUUUUCGAAGAACUUGGCGGUGUUCUUCCGCUGAACUUGGGUCAAAUGUCACAGCUAGGGGUAUUCAUGGUUUGGUUUGGAUCGGCUUUUCUCUAAAAAGAAACCAAAUCAAGUAAGUCAUUUUUUCAAAUAUUAGAACCAAAUCAAACCAAUUGAGUCGAUUUUUUCUCGAUUCGGUUUAUGUAAGGUUUUUUUGGUUUUUCUGUUAUUUGUCGGUUGUUUUAUAAAUAUAAGACAUACACUACCAAUCAAAUAUUUCGGAGACCACAUUUUCAAUAUAACACUAUGAAAUCAAUUGCCGUUUGAGAAAUCCAUUAUUUACUAAAAUAUAUUAAUGAUAAUUGAAUCAAAUAGUCAUGAAUAAUUUAAGAACUCAAUUAAAAAUAUAUAUUUUUUAACAUGAAAUAUAUUCUUGCAUUUAAUAAAAUAAAACUACCAAUAAAACUAGAGUAUAAAUGUAAAUAAUUGUACUAAAAAUGCAAACCAUUAACAUUCACCAUAAAAAUUUUGAAACUUUAUAUAAAAAUAUACAUAUAUAUAGGUGUAAUAAUAAAUUUAAAAUAUCUACUCCUAUAGUCGGUUUGGUUUAGUUUUCUUGGUUAUUUUUUUUAUUAAAACCAAAACAAAAUAAAAUUUGAUCGGUUUUUAAAAUUCAAAACCAAAACCAAACCAAACCAAACUAAAAAGUAUCAAUAUUUUUGGUAGGUUUGGUUUGGUUUUCAGUUUGGUUCGGUUUUUAGUUUGAUUCGGUUUUUUGGAUUUUUAUGAACACCCAUAGUCAUAACUGAUUUCUUUGGGGAUGCCGAAGUGGCAUGUGAUGUUUCUCCAUGUGAAUCUGAUAACUUCAUGUUCACGUAUUUAGGUGAACGCACCUACUUCUACCCAUUUGGAGUAAUAGUCGGUUAACACUAAAAGAAAGUGUACAUUACCUCAUCCUGCUGGGAGGGCUUCGAUGAUGUGCAUUCCCCAUUUGAUGAACGGCCAUGGCGAUGCAACAAAAUGGAGGUGCUCGCCCGCUUGGUGUAUCAUAGGGGCAUACUUUGGGCAUUGUUCGCAUUUCUUGACAUAAUUGGUGGUUUACUUCUUUAUUGUGGGCAAAUAAUAUCUUGCUUGAAUGAGGCAUCUAAUGAAG
rnacentral:lncRNA from 1 species